AGUGAACGCUGGCGGUAGGCCUAACACAUGCAAGUCGAACGGCAGCACAGUAAGAGCUUGCUCUUACGGGUGGCGAGUGGCGGACGGGUGAGGAAUACAUCGGAAUCUACUUUUUCGUGGGGGAUAACGUAGGGAAACUUACGCUAAUACCGCAUACGACCUACGGGUGAAAGCAGGGGAUCUUCGGACCUUGCGCGAUUGAAUGAGCCGAUGUCGGAUUAGCUAGUUGGCGGGGUAAAGGCCCACCAAGGCGACGAUCCGUAGCUGGUCUGAGGGGAUGAUCAGCCACACUGGAACUGAGACACGGUCCAGACUCCUACGGGAGGCAGCAGUGGGGAAUAUUGGACAAUGGGCGCAAGCCUGAUCCAGCCAUACCGCGUGGGUGAAGAAGGCCUUCGGGUUGUAAAGCCCUUUUGUUGGGAAAGAAAAGCAGCAGGUUAAUACCCCGCUGUUCUGACGGUACCCAAAGAAUAAGCACCGGCUAACUUC
rnacentral:rRNA from 1 species